GUUUUAGUUAUAGUUGGAGUUAUUUCGCCAUCGUGGUAUGUCUGGUUUUUCUUUGUUUUUAUGGAAGCAAUAGCAUCGCAGUUGUUGGCGCUCUUAAUUAUAUUGCUAAUAUCUAACAAAGUGCAUGUUUAACUUUUAUUGCAGUUGCACCAAAGAAGCUUUGAAAUAUAGUUUACAGCUUUACAUUUGAUAAAUAUCAAGCCUAAAGUCCAUAACUUUGGGCAUUUCAGUUUAUUCUAUUUGAAUGAAAUAUAAACACGAACUUUUAACAA